GCAAGUCGAACGCACAGCGAAAGGUGCUUGCACCUUUCAAGUGAGUGGCGAACGGGUGAGUAACACGUGGACAACCUGCCUCAAGGCUGGGGAUAACAUUUGGAAACAGAUGCUAAUACCGAAUAAAACUUAGUGUCGCAUGACACAAAGUUAAAAGGCGCUUCGGCGUCACCUAGAGAUGGAUCCGCGGUGCAUUAGUUAGUUGGUGGGGUAAAGGCCUACCAAGACAAUGAUGCAUAGCCGAGUUGAGAGACUGAUCGGCCACAUUGGGACUGAGACACGGCCCAAACUCCUACGGGAGGCUGCAGUAGGGAAUCUUCCACAAUGGGCGAAAGCCUGAUGGAGCAACGCCGCGUGUGUGAUGAAGGCUUUCGGGUCGUAAAGCACUGUUGUAUGGGAAGAACAGCUAGAAUAGGAAAUGAUUUUAGUUUGACGGUACCAUACCAGAAAGGGACGGCUAAAUACGUGCCAGCAGCCGCGGUAAUACGUAUGUCCCGAGCGUUAUCCGGAUUUAUUGGGCGUAAAGCGAGCGCAGACGGUUUAUUAAGUCUGAUGUGAAAGCCCGGAGCU
rnacentral:rRNA from 2 species